rfam:Schistosoma curassoni strain Dakar, Senegal genome assembly, scaffold: SCTD_scaffold0000024
CUACCACAGAGGAGUCCCAUAAUAGGACGAAACGGCCGUCCAGUGU